GACGAACGCUGGCGGCGUGCUUAACACAUGCAAGUCGAACGGAAAGGCCCUGCUUUUGUGGGGUGCUCGAUUGGCGAACGGGGGAGUAACACGUGAGUAACCUGCCCUUGACUUUGGGAUAACUUCAGGAAACUGGGGCUAAUACCGGAUAGGAGCUCCUGCUGCAUGGGGGGGGUUGGAAAGUUUCGGCGGUUGGGGAUGGACUCGCGGCUUAUCAGCUGGUUGGUGGGGUAGGUGCUUACCAGGGCUUUGACGGGUAGCCGGCCUGAGAGGGUGACCGGCCACCUUGGGACUGCGAUACGCACCAGACUCCUACGGGAGGCAGUAGUGGGGAAUCUUGCACAAUGGGCGGAAGCCUGAUGCAGCAACGCCGCGUGCGGGAUGCCCGCCUUCGGGUUGUAAACAGCUUUCGCCUGUGACGAAGAGUGAGUGACGGUAAUGGGUAAAGAAGCACCGGCUAACUACGUG
rnacentral:rRNA from 1 species